rnacentral:rRNA from 1 species
UGUGACCUACGGGAGGCAGCAGUAGGGAAUUUUCGUCAAUGGGCGCAAGCCUGAACGAGCAAUGCCGCGUGAACGAGGAAGGUCUUCGGAUCGUAAAGUUCUGUUGAAGGGGAAAAAGAGCGGAGAGAGGAAAUGGUCUCCGAUUGAUAUUACCCUUCGAGGAAGUCACGGCUAACUACGUGCCAGCGGCCGCGGUAAUACGUAGGUGGCGAGCGUUAUCCGGAAUGAUUGGGCGUAAAGGGUGGGAAGGCGGC